AGGUCAAGUUACUAAGAGCGCAGGGCGAAUGCCUUGGCACCAAGAGGCGAAGAAGGACGUAGAAAGCUGCGAAAAGCUCCCUAGAUCUGCAAACAAGAAACGAAAGGGAGAUAUCCGAAUGGGGCAACCCACUUAAGCAAACCUUAAGUAUCUAUAUAUGAAUAAAAUAGUAUAUAGAAGCAAUACCGGGAGAACUGAAACAUCUAAGUACCCCGAGGAAAAGAAAGAAACAUCGAUUUUCAAAGUAGCGGCGAGCGAAAUGGAAAGAGCCCGCUUAAAGAAAAACUAAAACAAUAUCCGAAUGAUCUUGGAAAAAUCAUCCAAAGAAAGUGAAAGACUUGUAGGAAAAGAUAUUAGAAUUUCAAUAAGCUUAACGAGUACCACAAGGCACGAGAAACCUGGUGGGAACACGGGAGGACCACCUCCCAAGGCUAAAUACUACUUGGUGACCGAUAGAGAAUAGUACCGUGAGGGAAAGGUAAAAAGAACCCCGAAAGGGGAGUGAAAUAGAACCUGAAACCCUGCGUUUACAAGCAAAGAAAGCACGUGAAAAGUGCAAUCUUGUACUUUUUGUAGAACGGGCCAGCGAGUUACUUUUGUAAGCAAGGUUAAGAAGUUAAGCUUCGAAGCCGAAGAGAAAUCAAGUCUUAAUAGGGCGAAAUAGUUUACAGGAGUAGACCCGAAACCAGGUGACCUAUCCAUGAGCAGAGUGAAGUUAAAGUAAAAUUUAAUGGAGGCUCGAACCGGGUGUGGUUUAAAACACAUCGGAUGACUUGUGGAUAGGGGUGAAAAGCCAAUCGAACCUGGAGAUAGCUGGUUCUCCUCGAAAUAGCUUUAGGGCUAGCCUUUAGGAUGUUUAAUGGAGGUAGAGCUACUGACUGGUUGCGGGGUGUUUAUACAUUACCAAAACCUAUCAAACUCCGAAUGCCAAGAAAACAAACCUAAGGAGUCAGACAUAGUGGGAUAAGCUUCUAUGUCAAAAGGGAAAGAGCCCAGACCAUCAGCUAAGGUCCCCAAAUACCGAUUAAGUGGUAAAGGAUGUGAAGUUACCCAAACAACUAGGAUGUUGGCUUAGAAGCAGCCAUACAUUUAAAGAGUGCGUAAUAGCUCACUAGUCGAGUGACCUUGCGCCGAAGAUUUCCGGGGCUAAAUCGGAUACCGAAGCUGUGGACUCGUAAGAGUGGUAGAGGAGCAUUGUGUAAUAGGCAGAAGCAGUAUCGAAAGGCGCUGUGGACGAAACACAAGAGAGAAUGCUGGCAUAAGUAGCGAGAAGGAGUGUGAGAAUCACUCCCGUCGAAAACCUAAGGGUUCCUGAGCAAGGCUCGUCCCCUCAGGGUAAGUCGGGACCUAAGGCGAGGCCGAAAGGAGUAGCCGAUGGACAACUAGUAAAAAUUCUAGUACUAUCAAAUAUCGUAUAAAUGAAGCGGGGACACAGAAGGAUAAGCUAAGCGUACCAGAUGGACGAGUACGCUCAAAUAAAAAGGCAUGCCAGGACUAAUAACCAGGCUAAGCCAAUUUAUGAUGAGGAUCGAAAACAAGUAGAGAAGUAGCCGAUUUCACACUGUCAAGAAAAGCCGCUAAAUAGAUAAAUGAUACCCGUACCGUAAACCGACACAGGUAGGAAAGGAGAGAAUCCUAAGACGCGCGGAAGAACCUUUGUUAAGGAACUCGGCAAAAUGACCCCGUAAGUUAGCGAGAAGGGGAGCCAGAGCGAUCUGGCCGCAGUGAAUAGGCCCAAGCGACUGUUUACCAAAAACACAAGUUUCUGCUAAGUCGAAAGACGACGUAUAGGAGCUGACACCUGCCCGGUGCUGGAAGGUUAAGGGGAAAUGUUAGC
rnacentral:rRNA from 1 species